rnacentral:rRNA from 1 species
CUUGACCUCAAAUCAGGUAGGACUACCCGCUGAACUUAAGCAUAUCAAUAAGCGGAGGAAAAGAAACUAACAAGGAUUCCCCUAGUAACUGCGAGUGAAGCGGGAAAAGCUCAAAUUUAAAAUCUGGUGUGCCUUUGGCCAUCCGAGUUGUAGUCUGGAGAAGUGUUUUCUGUGCUGGACCGUGUACAAGUCCCUUGGAACAGGGCGUCAUAGAGGGUGAGAAUCCCGUCUUUGACACGGACUACCAGUGCUCUGUGAUGCACUCUCAAAGAGUCGAGUUGUUUGGGAAUGCAGCUCAAAAUGGGUGGUAAAUUCCAUCUAAAGCUAAAUAUAGGCGAGAGACCGAUAGCGAACAAGUACCGUGAGGGAAAGAUGAAAAGCACUUUGGAAAGAGAGUUAAACAGUACGUGAAAUUGCUGAAAGGGAAACGCUUGAAGUCAGUCGCGUCUGCCAGGACUCAGCCUUGCUUUUGCUUGGUGCACUUUCUGGUAGAUGGGCCAGCAUCAAUUUUGACCGUCAGAAAAAGUUGGAGGGAAUGUGGCACCUUUCGAGGUGUGUUAUAGCCUUUCAUCGCAUAUGACGGUUGGGAUUGAGGACCGCAGCACGCCUUUAUGGCCGGGGCCCCAUAUCGCCCACGUAACGUGCUUAGGAUGCUGGCUUAAUGGCUUUAAGCGACCCGUCUUGAAACACGGACCAAGGAGUCUAACAUGCCUGCGAGUGUUUGAGUGGUAAAACUCGAGCGCGUAAUGAAAGUGAUAGUUGAGACCUCUGUUGUGGAGGGCAUCGACGCCUGGACUUGAUCUACGGAGACGGUUCCACGGUAGAGCAUGUAUGUUGGGACCCGAAAGAUGGUGAACUAUGCCUGAAUAGGGUGAAGCCAGAGGAAACUCUGGUGGAAGCUCGUAGCGAUUCUGACGUGCAAAUCGAUCGUCAAAUUUGGGUAUAGGGGCGAAAGACUAAUCGAACCAUCUAGUAGCUGGUUCCUGCCGAAGUUUCCCUCAGGAUAGCAGAAACUCAUAUCAGAUUUAUGUGGUAAAGCGAAUGAUUAGAGGCCUUGGGGUUGAAACAACCUUAACCUAUUCUCAAACUUUAAAUAUGUAAGAACGAGCCGUCACUUGAUUGGACCGCUCGGUCGAUUGAGAGUUUCUAGUGGGGCAUUUUUGGUAAGCAGAACUGGCGAUGCGGGAUGAACCGAACGCGAGGUUAAGUGCCGGAAUGCACGCUCAUCAGACACCACAAAAGGUGUUAGUUCAUCUAGACAGCACGGACGGUGGCCAUAGGAAGUCGGAAUCCGCUAAGGAGUGUGUAACAACUCACCUGUCGAAUGAACUAGACCUGAAAAUGGAUGGCGCUCAACGUGCUACCAUACCAUCGCGUCAAUGUUGAAGUGCACACUGACGAGUAGCAGACGUUGAGUUUUUGAAGAAGCCUAGCACUGAUGCUGGGUGAAAAAGCCUCUAGUGC